rnacentral:tRNA from 1 species
GGGCGCGUAGCUCAGUUGGUAGAGCAGCGGACUCUUAAUCCGCCGGUCCCAGGUUCGAGCCCUGGCGCGCUCACCA